GCUUUUGUACACACCGCCCGUCGCUACUACCGAUUGAAUGAUUUAGUGAGGUCUUCGGACUGGUACGCGGCAUCGACUCCGUCGUUGCCGAUGCUACCGGAAAGAUGACCAAACUUGAUCAUUUAGAGGAAGUAAAAGUCGUAACAAGGUUUCCGCAGGUGAACCUGCGGAAGGAUCAUUG
rnacentral:rRNA from 1 species